CUCAGGACGAACGCUGGCGGCGUGCUUAACACAUGCAAGUCGAACGAUGAAGACCGGUGCUUGCACUGGUUGGAUUAGUGGCGAACGGGUGAGUAAUACGUGAGUAACCUGCCUUUAACUCUGGGAUAAGCCUUGGAAACGAGGUCUAAUACCGGAUACGACCAGUUCCCGCAUGGGAUGCUGGUGGAAAGGGUUUGUACUGGUUUUAGAUGGGCUCACGGCCUAUCAGCUUGUUGGUGAGGUAACGGCUCACCAAGGCGACGACGGGUAGCCGGCCUGAGAGGGUGACCGGCCACACUGGGACUGAGACACGGCCCAGACUCCUACGGGAGGCAGCAGUGGGGAAUAUUGCACAAUGGGCGCAAGCCUGAUGCAGCGACGCCGCGUGAGGGAUGAAUGCCUUCGGGUUGUAAACC
rnacentral:rRNA from 1 species